AACAUUGUAAUCUCCUGAUUGUAACAAUGGAGAUACUUGGUCUAACAGAAUCAGGAAUGUCUUGUGAAUUUACAUUGCUCCACCCUACUUAGUCUAACAAGGUCAGUAAUGUCUGCACUCAUACUUCCCUCAGACAGCUUCCUUGAGACAGUCACAUGAAUCUCCUUUCAUUAGGAAUAACAGUUCAGUGGAAUGGAAUAAUGAUGGAAGUGGCACGGUGGAGGUUCCUAUAUAGAACAUCAUUGGAAUGGAGGCAACUCAAGAUACAGGAACAGAUCGAGUUUUGAAGAGACUAAUUGGGAAGCAGUAUGGUAUAGUGGGAAGAUGGCCAAUCUCAAAGCCAGGAAAACCUGUGCUCAUGGCUUGCUUAUGGUAGCUACUGGCUAUGUGACCCCAGGAGAAAGUUAUUGAACCUCUCAAAGCUCUGGAAAACCAUAAAUUGUUAAGAAGCUGCUGAUCUACUUUAUAGAGAGCUUUCCUCACCAAGACAUUCCCUAUAAACCUAAAAUGAUAGUUCCAG